rnacentral:rRNA from 1 species
ACGGAGGGUGCAAGCGUUGUUCGGUAUUAUUGGGCGUAAAGGGCGCGUAGGCGGUUGUGAAAGUCAGAGGUGAAAUACUUCGGCUUAACUGAAGGACUGCAUCUGAAACUUCAUAACUCGAGUACAGGAGAGGGAAACGGAAUUCCCAGUGUAGAGGUGAAAUUCGUAAAUAUCGGGAGGAACACCAGUGGCGAAGGCGGUUUCCUGGCAUGAUACUGACGCUGAGGAGCGAAAGCGUGGGGAGCAAACAG